GGACUACUCGGGUAUCUAAUCCUGUUUGCUCCCCACGCUCUCGCGCCUCAGCGUCAGUAUCUGUCCAGGUAGCCGCCUUCGCCACUGAUGUUCCUUCCGAUCUCUACGCAUUUCACCGCUACACCGGAAAUUCCACUACCCUCUACAGUACUCCAGUUACCCAGUUUUUAAUGCAGUUCCUAGGUUAAGCCCAGGGAUUUCACAUCAAACUUAAAUAACCGCCUACGCGCCCUUUACGCCCAGUAACUCCGAUUAACGCUUGCACCCUCUGUAUUACCGCGGCUGCUGGCAC
rnacentral:rRNA from 1 species